GACGAACGCUGGCGGCGUGCUUAACACAUGCAAGUCGAACGGAAAGGCCCUGCUUUUGUGGGGUGCUCGAGUGGCGAACGGGUGAGUAACACGUGAGUAACCUGGCCUUGACUUUGGGAUAACUUCAGGAAACUGGGGCUAAUACCGGAUAGGAGCUCCUGCUGCAUGGUGGGGGUUGGAAAGUUUCGGCGGUUGGGGAUGGACUCGCGGCUUAUCAGCUUGUUGGUGGGGUAGUGGCUUACCAAGGCUUUGACGGGUAGCCGGCCUGAGAGGGUGACCGGCCACAUUGGGACUGAGAUACGGCCCAGACUCCUACGGGAGGCAGCAGUGGGGAAUAUUGCACAAUGGGCGGAAGCCUGAUGCAGCAACGCCGCGUGCGGGAUGACGGCCUUCGGGUUGUAAACCGAUUUCGCCUGUGACGAAGCGUGAGUGACGGUAAUGGGUAAAGAAGCACCGGCUAACUACGUG
rnacentral:rRNA from 1 species